rnacentral:rRNA from 1 species
UCGCCUGCAUGAAGCUGGAAUUGCUAGUAAUCGCGGAUCAGCAAGCCGCGGUGAAUACGUUCCCGGGCCUUGUACACACCGCCCGUCACACCAUGGGAGUCGGUAACACCCGAAGUCGGUAGCCUAACCGUAAGGAGGGCGCCGCCGAAGGUGGGAUUGAUGACUGGGGUGAAGUCGUAACAAGGUACC